CUUAAAAGGGAGAUGACCCUGCUAGUUGAUGCCACCGGGAACCUCCAACGCCCAGGGCCUGGGGACCCGGCGAGGGUCAGCAGGGGGAAAGGCCCGCACUGAGGCGGUCCGCCGGCUCGGAGGGGCGCCCACAGCCCCGCCACCAUGUGCGAGCUGUACAGCAAGCAGGACACCCUGGCGCUGAGGAGGAAGCACAUCGGGCCCUCUUGCAAAGUUCUGUAUGCUGCGGAUCCCAUCAAAAUAGUGCGAGCCCAGCGGCAGUACAUGUUUGACGAGAAAGGCGAGCGGUACCUGGACUGUAUCAACAAUGUCGCCCACGUGGGACACUGUCACCCUGAAGUGGUCAAAGCUGCCCUCAAGCAGAUGGAAGUGCUCAACACAAAUUCUCGAUUCUUGCACGACAACAUCGUGGAGUACGCCAAGCGCCUCGCAGCGACCCUGCCGGAGCAGCUGUCUGUCUGCUAUUUUACAAAUUCAGGAUCUGAAGCCAAUGACUUAGCCUUACGCCUGGCUCGACAGUUCAGAGGCCACCCAGAUGUGGUCACCCUUGAGCAUGCUUACCAUGGUCACCUAUCAUCUUUAAUAGAGAUCAGCCCGUAUAAAUUUCGAAAGGGCAAAGAUGUCAAGAAAGAAUUUGUCCAUGUGGCACCAGCUCCAGAUAUUUACAGAGGAAAAUACAGAGAAAACCAUGCAGACCCAGCCAGUGCUUAUGCAGAUGAAGUGAAGAAAAUUAUUGAAGAAGCGCAGAACCGUGGAAGGAAGAUUGCUGCCUUUAUUGCUGAAUCCAUGCAGAGUUGUGGCGGACAGAUAAUUCCUCCAGCAGGCUACUUCCAGAAAGUGGCAGAGUACGUACGCGGAGUAGGGGGUGUGGUCAUAGCUGAUGAAGUUCAGGUCGGCUUUGGCCGAGUUGGGAAACAUUUCUGGAGCUUCCAAAUGCAUGGCAAAGACUUUGUUCCAGACAUCGUCACAAUGGGGAAGCCCAUGGGCAAUGGCCACCCAAUGGCAUGUGUAGUAACAACCAAAGAAAUUGCAGAAGCCUUCAGCAGCUCUGGGAUGGAGUAUUUCAAUACGUAUGGAGGAAACCCAGUGUCCUCUGCCGUGGGUUUGGCCGUCCUAGAUGUGAUUGAGAACGAAGACCUUCAGGGGAACGCCACGAGGGUGGGGACUUACCUCACCGAGUUACUGAACAGGCAGAAGGCUAAGCACACACUGAUCGGAGAUGUCAGGGGCGUUGGCCUUUUUGUCGGCAUUGACUUAGUGAAAGACCGUCAGAAAAGGACCCCAGCCACAGCGGAAGCUCAGCACGUCAUCUACAAGAUGAAGGAAAAUCGAGUGCUUCUCAGCGCCGACGGACCUCACAGAAACGUGCUUAAAAUAAAACCGCCCAUGUGCUUCACGGAAGAAGAUGCCAAGUUUAUGGUGGACCAGCUGGACGGGGUUCUGACAGUUUUAGAAGAAGCCAUCGGAGCCCAAACGGAGAGUGUGGUCCCUGAGAACACGCCGUGCAGAACAAAGGGUGGACCACAAGAGAGAUUCGGGCUUGAGACUUUGGGGGAGGAAGUGAAGCAGAAGUCACUUUGCAGCUAACACAUCAUCACUGGCGUGCCGACUCCCCUCCUUGGUGUGAGGCAGUGACUGGCUUGCAACUGACCCAUGUUCCCAUGGGUCCCCUCAGUUCCUCCAGCUCCUGACCUGAGGUGUCUCAUGGAUGCUUAAAAGGAUAAAUAGGUAUUUCUUCAGAACUCACCCCGUCAGAGUCCUUAAAAAGGAUUGGACUUGAGUGGACCAACGAGCUCUCUGUGGGUCCUCUGGAACAGCAGCCAAAGCCCACUGCAUGCCAUCCUGAAGCCAAGUAAACCACUCAUGGUUGAACCUAAUUUUUUCCCCCUCUUACCAAAUAUAAUGGUGCAGACUGACCCUUAAGUGGAAGGGAACACCAGCAUUUGGAUUUCCAGCAUUAUUAAACUACUCCCAAAUUUACCUUUUCUCAAUUAAAUAAACCCAGAUAUUUCAGGUUUUCCUCAUAGAAAUCUGUUCCCAAGCAUUCAUCUUUUUUUAAAUUCAAGGUUAAUUCUAUAUGAAGUAUAAUUUACACACAAUAACAUUCACCCUUUUUAGGUAUAUAUACAGAUUGAUAACAGGUACUUCACAUUUGACAGGCUUAUGAAGAGUACGGAAGCAGCCAAAACCCCUUCUUUCUGGUCUCUGGUCAAUGUGUGUUUGAUUGUAGGAGCCACAGCUGUCAGGAGGAUUAAUCCAGGGAGAGGUAAGGAGACUACCUGAGUCCUCUACGGAGGCUAGUGGUGCUUCUGGAGCUUAUAUUGUGUAUCAGUCAGCUCGGGCUGCCAUAACAAGAUAUGGUAGACCAGGCAGCCUAACCUAGGCUGUUCUCAUAGUUCUCAUAGUUCUGGAGGCUGGAAGUACGAGAUCAGGGUACAAGAAGGGUUGGUUCUGGUGAGACUCUCUUCCUGCCUUGCAGACAGCUGCCUUUUCACUGUGCCCUCACAUGACACGGAGAGAGACAGAAAGCUCUCCGGUGUCUCUUCUUAGAAGGGUAAUAAUUCCAUCAUGAGGGACCCAUCCUCAUAACCUCAUCUAAACCUACUUACCUCCCAAAGGCCCCAUCUCUAAGUACCAUCACAUUGGGGGUUAGGGCUUCAGCGUAUGAAUCUGGGGGGACCCAGGUCAGUCCAUAGCAUACCCACAGAGUGUGUAUCUGGCUGAAGGCUUCAGACCUACAAUGGGUGGGGGAGGGAUGGAGACUCUCCUACUUCUACAGAAGUGCUCAGAGUCACUCUUCGUUCGUAAUCACAACUUAAUGAGGAAACCAGAGGAUCAACUGUUUCUAUGGGAAACACAAGAGCUGGAUGUUUUUUUUACCCCCAUUUGGGUCAAAGGGUGUCAUGUUGAGACUCAACAUUACUCCUCAGUGUCAUCACUUGUGAGUCAAGAGUCAAAGUUCUACAGUCAGCACGUCACUUAACAACUGGGAUACAUUUGCUAGGCAAUUUCUUCAUUGUGCGAACAUCACAGAGUGUACUUACACAAACCUAGAUGGUAUAGCCUACUACACGCCUAGGCUCUAUAGUAGUAAUCUUAUGCGACCACCAUCAUAUGCGCAGUCUGUCAGUGACCAAAACAUAAUGAUGCAGUGCAUGACUGUGAAGCUAGGGGCCAACUUGCUUUAACUACACUCAGUUAGUUGCCUGUUUGCAAAAGUAGUGGGAUAAUGCAUUAGUAAAGGCCAUCCUAUAGAUAACCUCUCUGACACUUGGGUUGCCAUGGUAAUGCAUGCUUAAGUUGUUUUUCAGGAAGUGAGAGUUCACUCCUUGUCCAGUUAAGACCACCGACUCAUCAACUGGGUCUGCGUGGAUGACCCACAGGUGACCUCCUGACAACAGGGAGCUGAAAACUCCACCCUCAGAUCAUGCUAAUGCCACCGUUUUGUGAACAUGCAUCCUAUGACGGGCCAUGAAGCUUGACUAGGCUUGCACAGAUCAUCAAUUACCUCACUUCUCCUCACCUCCUAUCAUCUAUUCCCACACUUCAGACCACCCUGCCUCUUUAUCUCAUAAAUUUCACUAAUCCCCGUUUUCAGGGAGGCAGAUUUGAGUCUUGUUCUCCCAUCUCCUCAUUUGGCCACCUUUUGAAUAAAUCCUUACUUUGCUGCAAAACUUGUCAUCUCAGUGAUUG